GAUGAACGCUGGCGGCGUGCCUAAUACAUGCAAGUCGAGCGAACGGACGAGAAGCUUGCUUCUCUGAUGUUAGCGGCGGACGGGUGAGUAACACGUGGAUAACCUACCUAUAAGACUGGGAUAACUUCGGGAAACCGGAGCUAAUACCGGAUAAUAUUUUUAACCGCAUGGUUCAAAAGUGAAAGACGGUCUUGCUGUCACUUAUAGAUGGAUCCGCGCUGCAUUAGCUAGUUGGUAAGGUAACGGCUUACCAAGGCAACGAUGCAUAGCCGACCUGAGAGGGUGAUCGGCCACACUGGAACUGAGACACGGUCCAGACUCCUAAGGGAGGCAGCAGGAGGGAAUCUUCCGCAAUGGGCGGAAGCCUGACGGAGCAAAGCCGCGUGAGUGAUGAAGGUCUUCGGAUCGUAAAACUCUGUUAUUAGGGAAGAACAUAUGUGUAAGUAACUGUGCACAGCUUGACGGUACCUAAUCAGAAAGCCACGGCUAACUACGUG
rnacentral:rRNA from 1 species